rnacentral:rRNA from 1 species
AGCGAACGCUGGCGGCAGGCCUAACACAUGCAAGUCGAACGAACUCUUCGGAGUUAGUGUCGGCCGGGUGAGUACCACGUGGGAACGUGCCAUUAGGUUCGGCAUAACUUAGGGAAACUUGUGCUAAUCCCGAAUGUGCCCUUCGGGGGAAAGAUUUAUCGCCUUUAGAGCGGCCCGCGUCUGAUUAGCUAGUUGGUGAGGUAAAGGCUCACCAAGGCGACGAUCAGUAGCUGGUUUGAGAGGAUGAUCAGCCACAUUGGGACUGAGACACGGCCCAAACUCCUACGGGAGGCAGCAGAGGGGAAUCUUGCGCAAUGGGCGAAAGCCUGACGCAGCCAGGCCGCGUGAAUGAUGAAGGUCUUAGGAUUGGAAAAUUCUAUCACCGGAGACGAUAAUGACGGUACCCGGAGAAGAAGCCCCGGCUAACUUCGUG